rnacentral:lncRNA from 1 species
GCAGAUAAUGCAACAAUCAUUUUUCUCCUCCAACCCCCAUAACCACUUCCCGAGAAGGGAGUCGGGACAAGAGAGACCCAGGGAUAUCAGAGGAGUAUACAAAGAUGGGGUUGGUAGAGUCUACCGAGGAGGAGGUACCAACAUUCGUAUUAGAAGCCAUAAUCAAUGAACCGGCUUAAAAAAAACAAUUUCGACAAGCAGAGUAUAACCAAACCAGAUAUUCACACACAAAACCAGAUACUCACAUACGGAGCCAGAUAAUCACACAAAAAGCAUACAAUACUCAAGAUAAGGAUAGAGUUACCCUCCUUCUUCGCGACCGGAGAAGAUCGGCCUUCAAUCAACAGAGAAAACCCUAGGUACAACCGUCGGAAACUUUACUAGAAAUAUGGUCAGGGAUGUCGGAAAGUCACCCAAAACAUCCACUGAGUGAGGAUCGAGCCACCGGAUAACAGUUAAACCCUAGGUUCAACCACCGUCAGGGAUGUCGGAAAGUCACCCAAAACAUCCACUGAGUGAGGAUCGAGCCACCAGAUAGCAGUUAAACCCUAGGUUUAACCACCAGAAACCCUAGAAGCUGAUAAAUCAUCGAAAGAUCACCCAAAAAUUAUCGGAAAAUCUCCCACAACGUUCGAGUGAAGAAGAUAUAGUCAGAUAUCACGAUGAAAGUCUCAGAAAAACAUCCGAUUUAGAUCGGAAUCGUCAUCGACCACAUACGUCAGAAACACC